UACGUAGGGUGCAAGCGUUGUCCGGAAUUAUUGGGCGUAAAGAGCUCGUAGGCGGUCUGUCGCGUCUGCUGUGAAAACUCAGGGCUUAACCCUGAGCUUGCAGUGGGUACGGGCAGACUAGAGUGCGGUAGGGGAGACUGGAAUUCCUGGUGUAGCGGUGAAAUGCGCAGAUAUCAGGAGGAAGACCAGUGGCGAAGGCGGGUCUCUGGACAGUUC
rnacentral:rRNA from 1 species